AGGCUUCGUUUGGAAACUCCAAUCCCCGCAGGGAUCCCUGCGUUUUCCCCGGGUGGGAAGACCACGGGAAUACAAUCCACGGGUUGAUUUAAUCGGACAUUUGGAACACCACGCGACAGGGUUCUCACGCCCCGAUCUGCCUCCUUUCCACGGGGAAACACGCCCCACCUCGACAGGUCGGGGAGCAAUCCCCCGUCUUCUCCCGAGUCUCGAGCUCUCCGUGUUGCUCGCGAGAUGCGACGAACGGCCGCCGCCGCCGCCGCGGCGAACGGCCGACCUUCUUCCCCACCUCCAUCGUCCCCUCCUCCACAGCUGUUGCUUCCACAUCUCCACACCUUUGCCUUCAUGGCCGCCACUACUUCCACGCCGUCGUCGUCUCCGUCUCCGUCUCCGUCUCCGUCUCCGUCUCCGUCUCCGUGGCCACCGGCACCUCACCUCCAAACUGUGGCUCAGCAUCUAUCUGUUUUCUGCCACCAAGCUGAACAAAGCAAGGAUAGGGUUACCAAUAAAGAUCCUAUUCUUUCUGAUUGGAUUUUAUUGUGCGACGGCCUUUGCUACUGUCAUCUCCUUAUAUUCAUAAAAGUUGUAUGUCAGGUUAAUGUCAUUUUCAGGCUUCAACAUACUUGGGUAAUCUGCUCAGCAAAAUGUAUGGUUAGUCAAUCACGGGGAUGUGGGCAUGUGUUCAUUUGAAUGCUCGGAAUAAUAACUAGCAUUAUGUUCUGCCAUGCUAGAACUGCUUUCAUUAGUUAAUUUAGCCAAGCUAUUUGUAGCAGUUAAUCAAUCAUAAAGCCUAGAACUGCUUUUAUUAGUUAAUUUGGCCAAGCUACUUGUAGCACUUAAUCAAUCAUAAAGCAGUUCUAUAUGUGCCACAAAGCAAUCAGUAAGUUUCUUGGGUCAUUUAUAUUAUGAUUUAUUUGAUCAUUUGCAGGAAAUGCAGCUACUUUUAUCAGCAUGCACAAGUCCAAAAUAGUGCCGAACCAAAUUCUUGCUGGAUAUUAGAUGGUACUCAAUUCAAAUUUUGUAAGAAUUGAACUUCAUUGUAGAAAUUCUGAAAAGUUGUAGCCUUUCUCAAUAUUGUAACCUCUUUUGUUGUCAUAGACAACUUGUGAGUGUAAAAAGUUGUAAGAACCUAUAUGUGAACACGAUUUUUUUUUAAAGAAAAUUUAUGUAAGGGUGCCGCAAAGUAUUGCCUAAA